rnacentral:rRNA from 1 species
CACGUAGGGCGCAAGCGUUGUCCGGAAUUAUUGGGCGUAAAGAGCUCGUAGGCGGUCUGUUGCGUCCGCUGUGAAAACUCGGGGCUUAACCCCGAGCCUGCAGUGGAUACGGGCAGACUAGAGGUAGGUAGGGGAGAAUGGAAUUCCCGGUGUAGCGGUGAAAUGCGCAGACAUCGGGAGGAACACCGGUGGCGAAGGCGGUUCUCUGGGCCUUACCUGACGCUGAGGAGCGAGAGCGUGGGGAGCGAACAGG